rnacentral:tRNA from 1 species
ACCGGUAGUUCAGUCGGUUAGAAUGCCGGCCUGUCACGCCGGAGGUCGCGAGUUCGAGUCU